rnacentral:sRNA from 1 species
GCCGCGCCUAGGCUGGCCCCCGAAAACCGGGAGAAUCCCUCACCUGGCUGGCGCGGCUUCCUUUUUUGAGGG